AUGCCAUGGUGUGGGAAUUGUCUAAGCAAUUCCUUAAAUAUCUCUCAAGCAUCAAAUAAAGAUUCAUCAUCUCCUUGCAUAAAUGAAGUAAUUUCAUUUCUCAUCUU